AUAUAUUUGUGCUGUUAGCUAGAAAAGAAGCAUGAAGAUCAAAGAUUUGGUAAAGUAUAAAUCACAAUAGGCAUUGUUACGUACACCAAUUCUUUUCUAGAUGACAUCAGAGAUGUGACGUCACGAAGUGGUGAUGACGCAACAGAAGAACCCACUUCAAUAUGGUAUGUGACGUCACAGAGGAUCAAGAGGACCAGGAGCGCGAAUCAGGAAUGAAGAAAAGUCAGCGUUUAUGCUGCCGAAGAAAAGCGCAAGACGAAGAGCAAAGACGAAGACAUCGAAUAUGGAUACCGGUUUGAGGUUUUGCUUAGGCUUAGGAGUUGUGUGUUGUUGGGGUGUGGUUGCUGGAGCACUCUUACAGUGUUGCCGGAUUUGUGAUUGUCUCCCAUUUAUGCUGCAUCUAAUGUAGGCAGCCUUUUUGUCAGUCACUACUUUAGUGCAUUUUGCAUGUCUAUGAAAUAUUUGCAAUAAAACUAUGGCAAACAUCUUGCUGGAUCGGAUUUUCUUGAUGUACACGUCAUUGUGUGCUUCUUCUGCAAAGGUCGAAUCCUUUAGCGAUUCUGCAUUGUCCUAAUCACCUGAUAAGAACGGCAUGUUGGUACACAAAUACUUUGAGUAAUAUCCACGCGCAUUAUAAUAUACACGCGGUUAAAAUUUUAGAUUUAAUAUCUCUC